rnacentral:SRP_RNA from 1 species
AGCCGGGUCCCGCGCAACGGACGGUCGUGAACCCCGUCAGGCCCGGAAGGGAGCAGCGGUGACGACCUCAGCCGUGUGCCGCGGGGGUGCCUGGCUGUC